AGAGUUUGAUCAUGGCUCAGAACGAACGCUGGCGGCAUGCCUAACACAUGCAAGUCGAACGAGACCUUCGGGUCUAGUGGCGCACGGGUGCGUAACGCGUGGGAACCUGCCCUUAGGUUCGGAAUAACUCCUCGAAAGGGGUGCUAAUACCGGAUAAUGUCUUCGGACCAAAGAUUUAUCGCCUUUGGAUGGGCCCGCGUUGGAUUAGCUAGUUGGUGGGGUAAAGGCCUACCAAGGCGACGAUCCAUAGCUGGUCUUAGAGGAUGAUCAGCCACACUGGGACUGAGACACGGCCCAGACUCCUACGGGAGGCAGCAGUGGGGAAUAUUGGACAAUGGGCGAAAGCCUGAUCCAGCAAUGCCGCGUGAGUGAUGAAGGCCUUAGGGUUGUAAAGCUCUUUUACCCGGGAUGAUAAUGACAGUACCGGGAGAAUAAGCCCCGGCUAACUCCGUGCCAGCAGCCGCGGUAAUACGGAGGGGGCUAGCGUUGUUCGGAAAUACUGGGCGUAAAGCGAACGUAGGCGGCUUAGCAAGUCAGGGGUGAAAUCCCAGAGCUCAACUCUGGAACUGCCUUUGAAACUGCUUCGCUUGAAUCCUGGAGAGGCGAGUGGAAUUCCGAGUGUAGAGGUGAAAUUCGUAGAUAUUCGGAAGAACACCAGUGGCGAAGGCGACUCGCUGGACAGGUAUUGACGCUGAGGUUCGAAAGCGUGGGGAGCAAACAGGAUUAGAUACCCUAGUAGUCC
rnacentral:rRNA from 1 species